rnacentral:rRNA from 1 species
AUACCGCAUAAUGUCGCAAGACCAAAGUGGGGGACCUUCGGGCCUCAUGCCAUCAGAUGUGCCCAGAUGGGAUUAGCUAGUAGGUGGGGUAACGGCUCACCUAGGCGACGAUCCCUAGCUGGUCUGAGAGGAUGACCAGCCACACUGGAACUGAGACACGGUCCAGACUCCUACGGGAGGCAGCAGUGGGGAAUAUUGCACAAUGGGCGCAAGCCUGAUGCAGCCAUGCCGCGUGUGUGAAGAAGGCCUUCGGGUUGUAAAGCACUUUCAGCGGGGAGGAAGGCGUUAAGGUUAAUAACCUUGGCGAUUGACGUUACCCGCAGAAGAAGCACCGGCUAACUCCGUGCCAGCAGCCGCGGUAAUACGGAGGGUGACAGGUCCGUUAAUCGGAAUUACUGGGCGUAAAGCGCACGCAGGCGGUCUGUCAAGUCGGAUGUGAAAUCCCCGGGCUCAACCUGGGAACUGCAUUCGAAACUGGCAGGCUAGAGUCUUGUAGAGGGGGGUAGAAUUCCAGGUGUAGCGGUGAAAUGCGUAGAGAUCUGGAGGAAUACCGGUGGCGAAGGCGGCCCCCUGGACAAAGACUGACGCUCAGGUGCGAAAGCGUGGGGAGCAAACAGGAUUAGAUACCCUGGUAGUCCACGCCGUAAACGAUGUCGAUUUGGAGGUUGUGCCCUUGAGCGCGUGGCUUCCGGAGCUAACGCGUUAAAUCGACCGCCUGGGGAGUACGGCCGCAGGUUAAAACUCAAAUGAAUUGACGGGGGCCCGCACAAGCGGUGGAGCAUGUGGUUUAAUUCGAUGCAACGCGAAGAACCUUACCUGGUCUUGACAUCCACAGAACUUUCCAGAGAUGGAUUGGUGCCUUCGGGAACUGUGAGACAGGUGCUGCAUGGCUGUCGUCAGCUCGUGUUGUGAAAUGUUGGGUUAAGUCCCGCAACGAGCGCAACCCUUAUCCUUUGUUGCCAGCGGUUCAGGCCGGGAACUCAAAGGAGACUGCCAGUGAUAAACUGGAGGAAGGUGGGGAUGACGUCAAGUCAUCAUGGCCCUUACGACCAGGGCUACACACGUGCUACAAUGGCAUAUACAAAGAGAAGCGACCUCGCGAGAGCAAGCGGACCUCAUAAAGUAUGUCGUAGUCCGGAUUGGAGUCUGCAACUCGACUCCAUGAAGUCGGAAUCGCUAGUAAUCGUAGAU